UACGAGGGGAGCGUAGCGUUGUUCGGAAUUACUGGGCGUAAAGGGCGUGUAGGCGGUACCAUAAGUCAGAUGUGAAAGCCCUAAGCCUUAACUUAGGAGGUGCAUUUGAUACUGUGGAACUAGAGAUCGAGAGAGGUAAGUGGAAUUACGAGUGUAGAGGUGAAAUUCGUAGAUAUUCGUAAGAACACCAGUGGCGAAGGCGGCUCACUGGCUCGAUACUGACGCUGAGGUGCGAAAGCGUGGGGAGCAAACAGG
rnacentral:rRNA from 1 species